CCUACGGGUGGUUGCAGUGGGGAAUAUUGGACAAUGGGCGAAAGCCUGAUCCAGCCAUGCCGCGUGUGUGAAGAAGGCCUUCGGGUUGUAAAGCACUUUCAGUGGGGAAGAAAGCCUUGGGGCUAAUACCCUCGAGGAAGGACAUCACCCACAGAAGAAGCACCGGCUAACUCCGUGCCAGCAGCCGCGGUAAUACGGAGGGUGCGAGCGUUAAUCGGAAUUACUGGGCGUAAAGCGCGCGUAGGCGGUCUGAUAAGCCGGUUGUGAAAGCCCCGGGCUCAACCUGGGAACGGCAUCCGGAACUGUCAGGCUAGAGUGCAGGAGAGGAAGGUAGAAUUCCCGGUGUAGCGGUGAAAUGCGUAGAGAUCGGGAGGAAUACCAGUGGCGAAGGCGGCCUUCUGGACUGACACUGACGCUGAGGUGCGAAAGCGUGGGUAGCAAACAGGAUUAGAUACCCCGGUAGU
rnacentral:rRNA from 1 species